GAAAACUCUAGAGAUAGAGCCUUCCCCUUCGGGGGACAAAGUGACAGGUGGUGCAUGGUUGUCGUCAGCUCGUGUCGUGAGAUGUUGGGUUAAGUCCCGCAACGAGCGCAACCCUUAAGCUUAGUUGCCAUCAUUAAGUUGGGCACUCUAGGUUGACUGCCGGUGACAAACCGGAGGAAGGUGGGGAUGACGUCAAAUCAUCAUGCCCCUUAUGAUUUGGGCUACACACGUGCUACAAUGGACAAUACAAAGGGCAGCUAAACCGCGAGGUCAUGCAAAUCCCAUAAAGUUGUUCUCAGUUCGGAUUGUAGUCUGCAACUCGACUACAUGAAGCUGGAAUCGCUAGUAAUCGUAGAUCAGCAUGCUACGGUGAAUACGUUCCCGGGUCUUGUACACACCGCCCGUCACACCACGAGAGUUUGUAACACCCGAAGCCGGUGGAGUAACCAUUUAUGGAGCUAGCCGUCGAAGGUGGGACAAAUGAUUGGGGUGAAGUCGUAACAAGGUAGCCGUAUCGGAAG
rnacentral:rRNA from 1 species